rnacentral:rRNA from 1 species
UGGGGAAUAUUGCACAAUGGGCGCAAGCCUGAUGCAGCCAUGCCGCGUGUAUGAAGAAGGCCUUCGGGUUGUAAAGUACUUUCAGCGGGGAGGAAGGGAGUAAAGUUAAUACCUUUGCUCAUUGACGUUACCCGCAGAAGAAGCACCGGCUAACUCCGUGCCAGCAGCCGCGGUAAUACGGAGGGUGCAAGCGUUAAUCGGAAUUACUGGGCGUAAAGCGCACGCAGGCGGUUUGUUAAGUCAGAUGUGAAAUCCCAGGGCUUAACCCGGGAAUUGCAUCUGAUACUGGUCAGCUAGAGUCUUGUAGAGGGGGGUAGAAUUCCAUGUGUAGCGAUGAAAUGCGUAGAGAUGUGGAGGAAUACCGGUGGCGAAGGCGGCCCCCUGGACAAAGACUGACGCUCAGGUGCGAAAGCGUGGGGAGCAAACAGG